GGCAACGUAGCCAAGCGGUCUAAGGCACCAGGUUCAGGGCCACCUGAAUUCUACAUCCUGGUCAGUAAUGGGGCGUGGUCUCAGUAAUGAGGCGUGGGUUCGAAUCCCACCGUUGUCA